AUUGAACGCUGGCGGCAGGCCUAACACAUGCAAGUCGAGCGAGCGGCGGACGGGUGAGGAAUGUCUGGGAAACUGCCUGAGGGAGGGGGAUAACUACUGGAAACGGUAGCUAAUACCGCAUACCCUCAGAUGUGCCCAGAGGGGAUUAGCUAGUGGGUGGGGUAACGGAUAACCUAGGCGACGAUCCCUAGCUGGUCUGAGAGGAUUACCAGCAAAACGUGAACUGAGACACGGUCCAGACGCCUACGGGAGGCAGCAGUGGGGAAUAUGGCACAAUGGGCGCAAGCCUGAUGCAGCCAUGCCGCGUGUGGGAAGAAGGCCUUCGGGUUGUAAAGCACUUUCAGCGGGGAGGCGUUACCCGCAGAAGAAGCACCGGCUAACUCCGUGCCAGCAGCCGCGGUAAUUC
rnacentral:rRNA from 1 species